CCUACGGGUGGCAGCAGUGGGGAAUAUUGCGCAAUGGGCGAAAGCCUGACGCAGCGACGCCGCGUGAGGGAUGAAGGUCUUCGGAUCGUAAACCUCUGUCAGCAGGGAAGAACGGUCACUGUGCUAAUCAUCAGUGAAUUGACGGUACCUGCAAAGGAAGCACCGGCUAACUCCGUGCCAGCAGCCGCGGUAAUACGGAGGGUGCGAGCGUUAAUCGGAAUUACUGGGCGUAAAGCGCUCGUAGGCGGUAUGUCAAGUCAAGUGUGAAAUCCCCGCGCUCAACGUGGUAACUGCAUGUGAAACUGGCAAGCUGGAGUGUGUGAGAGGAUAGUGGAAUUCCAGGUGUAGGGGUGAAAUCCGUAGAGAUCUGGAGGAACAUCAGUGGCGAAGGCGACUAUCUGGCACAUAACUGACGCUGAGGAGCGAAAGCGUGGGUAGCAAACAGGAUUAGAUACCCGAGUAGUC
rnacentral:rRNA from 1 species